rnacentral:rRNA from 1 species
GAUGAACGCUGGCGGCGUGCCUAAUACAUGCAAGUCGAGCGAACGGACGAGAAGCUUGCUUCUCUGAUGUUAGCGGCGGACGGGUGAGUAAUACGUGGAUAACCUACCUAUAAGACUGGGAUAACUUCGGGAAACCGGAGCUAAUACCGGAUAAUAUUUUGAACCGCAUGGUUCAAAAGUGAAAGACGGUCUUGCUGUCACUUAUAGAUGGAUCCGCGCUGCAUUAGCUAGUUGGUAAGGUAACGGCUUACCAAGGCAACGAUGCAUAGCCGACCUGAGAGGGUGAUCGGCCACACUGGAACUGAGACACGGUCCAGACUCCUGCGGGAGGCAGCAGUAGGGAAUCUUCCGCAAUGGGCGAAAGCCUGACGGAGCAACGCCGCGUGAGUGAUGAAGGUCUUCGGAUCGUAAAACUCUGUUAUUAGGGAAGAACAUAUGUGUAAGUAACUGUGCACAUCUUGACGGUACCUAAUCAGAAAGCCACGGCUAACUACGUG